CACGGGCCCGACUUCUACGGAAGGCAGCAGUGAGGGAUAUUGCCCAAUGGACGGAAGUCUGAGGCAGCAACGCCGCGUGCGGGAUGAAGGCCUUCGCGUAGUAAACCGCUGUUCUGCGCGACGAGGAAGGACGGUAGCGCAGGAAGAAGUCUCGGCUAACUACGUGCCAUCUAGCCGCGGUUAAACUGUAGGGAGGCGAGCGUUAUCCGGAUGUACUGGCGUUUAAAGCGCGUACAGGCGGUCAUGUAAAUAGGUGCGUGAAAACGCCCGGCUCAACCGGGCGAGGCCGUGCCAAACUGCGUGACUGGAGGCAGUUAGAGGCGCGUGGAAUUCCGGGUGUAGUGGUGAAAUGCGUAGAUAUCCGGAGGAACGCCAGUGGCGAAGGCGGCGCGCUGGGCCUGACCUGACGCUAAGACGCGAAAGCAUGGGGAGCGAACGGGAUUAGAAACCCCGGUAGUCCAUGCUGUAAACGCUGCAGACUAGGUGUUGCGUGCGACGAGUAUGCAGUGCCGAAGCCAACGUGAUAAGUCUGCCACCUGGGGACUACGGCCGCAAGGUUAAAACUCAAAGGAAUUGACGGGGGCCCGCACAAGCAGCGGAGCGUGUGGUUUAAUUCGAGGCUACACGAAGAACCUUACCUGGGCUUGACAUGGCGGUGGUAGGGAACCGAAAGGGGACCGACCUUCGGGAGCCGUCACAGGUGCUGCAUGGCUGUCGUCAGCUCGUGUCGUGAGAUGUUCGGUUAAGUCCGGUAACGAGCGCAACCCUCGCCGCUAGUUACAAGUGUCUAGCGGGACUGCCCGUUGAACGCGGGAGGAAGGUGGGGAUGACGUCAAGUCAGCAUGGCCUUUAUGUCCAGGGCUACACACACGCUACAAUGGCCGGUACAAUGGGUCGCCAACCCGCGAGGGGGAGCCAAUCCAUCAAAGCCGGUCUCAGUUCGGAUUGCAGGCUGCAACCCGUCUGCAUGAAGUCGGAGUUGCUAGUAACCGCUAGGUCAGCUAUACUGCGGUGAAACGUUCCCGGCCCUUGUACACACCGCCCGUCACGUCAUGGGAGCUGGUCAUGCCUGAAGUCGGUGG
rnacentral:rRNA from 1 species